rnacentral:lncRNA from 1 species
GCUGGUUGAAAAUCAUAUUCUCAAGCACAGAAAAAUUAACUGUAUUCCAGAGCAUUUCCUUGUUUAUCUCCUUACCAAGCCUAAAACUCAACUAAUCCUUCUUUCAAACAGCUGGCAAACUCCCUUUUCUGAGAGGAGUGACUCAUAAGUUAUAGGAAAUCCACAAAAACUACGAUUUUUUCCCCCAACAAACUUAAUAACAGGCACAGAAGGGGCGGGGGGGGGGGGGGGCGGAAGGCCAGAAAGAGAACAGACAGAGAAGAGCAUUCAGUCUGUUUACUCCAAGGGCGUCACACCGUGCCAAUAUCCAGAGCUUCCUAAAAGCAAAUGUUCAAACUGCAGUUUCUGGACACACUGUCCUAGAAGUUGAACAGAUCCUUCAAGCCCAUGCACCAAGAAAUUCUGAAAAUAAAUAACUAGGUACUGCAAACCUACUGCACUCCCAUCACAGAAAUCUUUCAAAUUACAAAUCCCCUAAUUAGGCGCGGAAAAGAACACCGCACUCUUCCCUAAGAAAACCGACACCUCGUUGACCAAAGAGAAAGGAAAGCAAGUUCAUCUCCAACAUCCAAACCACAAAGCCAGGUUUCUACUAAAUAAAGUCCUCAAAUACACUCUAAUCUGAGAUGAGAUGCUUCACCAGCUCCAAAAUCCGCCCGACGUUCUUGCCGCCUGGAGGCCCCCACGUUCCCCUCCAGGCUUGGCCUCCCACGCUCGCCCUCGUUCCUGCGACUCUCGGUCCCCGUCGACACCAAAGGAGGAGGCCGCCAAGGCAUCCCCGCUGCAAGCCCGCUACCCGCCGACUCACCUGGUCCCCCCUACGUUCAGUUGGACGAUCUCGCCGCUGCCGG